UCAUGUGAAUUAUGAAGAUCCUCCCUUCAAUGUGGGCUCGCCAGUUUUCAGCAUUCAUGGAAAUCACGAUGAUCCAGCAGGCGUGUAAAUCAGACUUAGUUAUGUACAAGCCCAAGGAGAAGGGAAAAUUGCAGAGAAAGACAUCAUCGUGGUCAGCGAGAAGUAUGACUGGCUGGAUGUUGGGAAAUUAGGGAAAAUAACACUUCCUAAUCUCAUGGAGGUUCAUCCUUGUUAAUAUAAGAACCUGAGAAUGGUCAUCCAAAGUGGCAGAAAAUUCGGUCUCUACUAACAUGAUCAGUUGAAGAGGAGGAAUAUCAUGUUGUCUAGUUUCUUGCUGUUGCUCAUUCCCUGACCCCUUGAUCAAUUAUCAUUGAGGUAAGGCAUAUAUGUUGAAGGUGAAUGCAGCACAAGAAACCAUAUACAUUUUAUGUCACGUUUUUUCUUUUGGCCUGUGUAAUUUGGCAAGUUGGUUGGAUCAGUAUACAAGUACUCAUCUUGCUGGAGUUCAGAGUUGAAAAUAUAACAUGACGAGACUAUGAUUCUUACA